AGACAACAUAAGGCGGGAUAUGAUAGAGGUCUAAGAAAUCAUGAAAGGUGUAGAAAGAAUGAAUAGGGAAGUGUUAUUUACCCCUUCACAUAACACAAGAACCAGGGUGCACCUAGUG